rnacentral:rRNA from 1 species
ACACGUGGUAUCCUGUCUGAAUAUGGGGGGACCAUCCUCCAAGGCUAAAUACUCCUGACUGACCGAUAGUGAACCAGUACCGUGAGGGAAAGGCGAAAAGAACCCCGGCGAGGGGAGUGAAAAAGAACCUGAAACCGUGUACGUACAAGCAGUGGGAGCACCUUCGGGUGUGACUGCGUACCUUUUGUAUAAUGGGUCAGCGACUUA